rnacentral:rRNA from 1 species
AUUGAACGCUGGCGGCAGGCCUAACACAUGCACGUCGAACGAGUGGCGGACGGGUGAGUAAUGUAUGGGAAACUGCCCGAUGGAUAGGGAUAACUACUGGAAACAGUAGCUCAUACCGCACACCUUCCAAUGUGCCCAGAUGGGAGUAGCUAGUAGGUGGGGUAACGGCUCACCUAGGCGACGAUCCCUUGCUGGUGUGAGAGGAUGACCAGCCAAACUGGAACGGAGACACGGUCCAGACUCCGACGGGAGGCAGCAGUGGGGAAUAUUGCACAAUGGGCGAAAGCCUGAUGCAGCCAGGCCGCGUGUAUGAAGAAGGCAUUCGGGUUGUAAAGUACUUUCAGCGAGGAGGCGUUACUCGCAGAAGAAGCACCGGCUAACUCCGUGCCAGCAGCCGCGGUAAUAC